rnacentral:lncRNA from 1 species
UGUUGUUGCUCUCUUUCAUUUUCUGAACAUUUCUCUAGCUUCUGUUGUGCCGAACUCCUUUAGGUUUUUGAUAGGAUUUCUUUCCUUUUGUAGUUUAGUCGAAGUUCGGCUAACUAUUUCUUUGUUUCGGAGCUUUUACACCUUCAAAUGCCAUCCCUCGGCAAUGGAUUGGUGGUACUUCUCCCCUCAGUUCGGUAGAAAGGGGUUGCUG